UACGUAGGGUGCGAGCGUUAAUCGGAAUUACUGGGCGUAAAGCGUGCGCAGGCGGUUCGUUGUGUCCGUCGUGAAAGCCCCGGGCUUAACCUGGGAACUGCGAUGGAAACUAGCGAGCUGGAGUGUGGCAGAGGGGGGUGGAAUUCCGCGUGUAGCAGUGAAAUGCGUAGAUAUGUGGAGGAACACCGAUGGCGAAGGCAGCCCCCUGGGUUAACACUGACGCUCAUGCACGAAAGCGUGGGGAGCAAACAGG
rnacentral:rRNA from 1 species